rnacentral:rRNA from 1 species
UACGGAGGAUCCAAGCGUUAUCCGGAAUCAUUGGGCUUAAAGGGUCCGUAGGCGGACCUGUAAGUCAGUGGUGAAAUCUCGCAGCUUAACUGUGAAACUGCCAUUGAUACUGCAGGUCUUGAGUGAAUUUGAGGUAGCUGGAAUAAGUAGUGUAGCGGUGAAAUGCAUAGAUAUUACUAAGAACACCAAUUGCGAAGGCAGGUUACCAAGAUGCAACUGACGCUGAGGGACGAAAGCGUGGGGAGCGAACAGG